GGUAGGGUGCAGCCGAAUUGUAAGGCACUUGCCUACCAUUCAUGAGGCCCUGGGUUCAAGCCCAGCACUGCCA
rnacentral:tRNA from 1 species